CAGGGAAUUUCUCCUGCUCUCUCCCUCUGGGUGAAGCCUCAGCCCAUGGCUCCUCCACAGCCACACCCCCUGCUGCACGAUCCCUCCCUCUGAGGUCCCAGCUUCCUAUGGUCAGCCUGCCACGCCUCCACCCCCAACCUCUUGGCCCAGAUCCUUGGCUCCAGGAAAUCACUUCCGCCUGGGUCUUACCAACCCUAGGGGUGGUUGUGGCUUCCUGUGUUUCUUGCUGCAUUUUCCCCUUUUGGACUCUGUUCUAUCUGGGUAACCAACAAGUUUACUCUGAAAUACCCAGAGUAGUCUCUGUUUUCCUGACUGGGCCUUGUCUGUUACACAGCUUCAUGAGUGGCUCUCCGGCAGAAGCCCAUAUUAGCCCAGGGGCCAGUGUGGGCAAAGGGGUCCCCACACCCCUGGCUGACUGGGGAACAUGGGGAUCCCAGCACAAGCCUAAAUGCUUGGCUACCUCUGAUGCAAUCUGCUCAGUCAAGAACCAAGCUGCUGUCCUCGCUCAAACCCGGAGCAGCUGGCCAGGACGCUCAGCUUUCCCAGCAGGUGGGGCCCCUCGUGGCAGGCACUCCACAGGUGCAGACGAGAAAUCAAAGAGAAUCUACAAGCACCCUUCCCAUGGUGUGCUUCUCAAUUUCACCACAACUGUACAUCCCAAGGAUAUCUCAUGGAUAGGACCACAGUGUCUGCCUCUGGCAUCCUUUCUCCACCAAGAAAUGACUCCAAGUUCUUAAGAAAUGGGACACCUCUUGAGGGGCACGUCGUCUAUCCUCAUCCAGAUGUGUGGGAACCUCCGUGAAUAAAUCUGCAAAUAUCUUAAGAAGAGAUGCUCCUCUCCCCGCCGGGAGCCCAACUCUAGUGAAGGAAAGCUUGAAAGUGAACACCAACCAAGCUUAUCCUGGCCUCCUUUCCCACCCGUGGUUUCGUGCCCCUGUGUCUGUCCCACUGCUGAAGUGACCUGAAAUGGCUAGAGGAGGUAGGUGCUGAAGUCAAUGUCCUCUAGAGUCAAAUUCGCCCCCUUACUUGGCAGGGCCUCCAAGAGAUGAGCUGCUGUCCACCCCAUCAGCCCUCAACACCAGACCACCAGGAAGGACACUCGCUCAGGUGCCACAGUGGCUGCCACUGUCUCCCCAGACACCUUCACUGUUCCCGGCUGUGUCCGCCUCUGUGAGCUGCCCCCAACCUCCUUGCAGAUUUAAGAACGGAUGAAUAAAAAUGAGUAACACCUGCCCCGAGCCGCCCGC
rnacentral:lncRNA from 13 species